rnacentral:rRNA from 1 species
CCAAUAGCGUAUAUUAAAGUUGUUGCAGUUAAAAAGCUCGUAGUUGAAUUUCGGGGUCAGUAGGUUGGUCAUGCCUCUGGUAUGUACUGGUCUCACUGAUUCCUCCUUCCUGAUGAACUGUAAUGCCAUUAAUUUGGUGUUGCAGGGAAUCUGGACUGUUACUUUGAAAAAAUUAGAGUGUUUAAAGCAGGCCAACGCCUGAAUACAUUAGCAUGGAAUAAUGAAAUAGGACGUUCGAUCCUAUUUUGUUGGUUUCUAGGAUUGACGUAAUGAUUAAUAUGGAUAGUUGGAGGUAUUAGUAUUCAAUUGUCAGAGGUGAAAUUCUUUGAUUUAUUGAAGACUAACUACUUCGAAAGCAUGUGCCAAGGAUGUUUUCAUUAAUCAAGAACGAAAGUUAGGGGAUCGAAGACGAUCAGAUACCGUCGUAGUCUUAACCAUAAACUAUGCCGACUAGGGAUCGGAUGAUGUUAAUUUUUUAAUGACUCAUUCGGCGCCUUACG